UUCAAAGAUCUAGAAGUUAUUCUAUAUUGAAGUCGACGUUCCGAUGAUAUCCCCAUACACAGUUUUUACCCCCGAGGCAUUUUCAGGAAAAACGAAAAAUUUGUAUGGCGGCCAUCUUGAUUUUCCGCCAUUUUGAUUUUUUUUCACCGGCAAUUAAAUUUGACCAAGAUUUAAAUAGGUAUCGUGAAAACUAAAAAGUUCCACGUGCGAUAGUUUCGCCAGGCUGUAGGGUGUCUCCCUGAUGCGGAGCAGCUUUCGAAGAUCGAAAAGUAUUUCCAUACUCAAUAUGAUGUUUCGAUCAUAUUCCUCAUACAUCAUUUUUACCCCCGAGGCAUUUUCGGGAAAAACGAAAAUUUCGUAUGGCGGCCAUCUUGUUUUUCCGCCAUUUUGGUUUUUUUUCACCGGGGAUUGAAUUUGACCAAGAUUUAAAUAGGUUUCGUGAAAAAAAUAUUGCUCUAGGUUUUAUAGUUUUGCCAGGCCGUAGGGUGUCUCCCUGAUGCGGAGCAGAUUUUGAAGAUAGAGAAGUGUUUUCAUACUCCACAAGACGUUCCGAUUACAUCUCCAUACACAGUUUUUACUCCCGAUGCAUUUUCUGAAAAAACAAAAUUUUGUAUGGCGGCCAUCUUGUUUUUCCGCCAUUUUGAUUUUUUUUCACCGGCCAUAGGAUUUGACUAAGAAUUAAAUAGGUUUUGUGAAAAAAGAAUCGAUCCAGGUGCGAUAGUUUUGCCAGGCCGUAGGGUGUCUCCCUGAUGCGGAGCAGUUUUCCAAGAUCUGGAAGUUUUCCCAUACUCACCGGGAGGUCCCGAUCACUUUUCUCAUACAUUAUUUUUACCCCCCGACGCUCCUUCUGGGAGAACAACCCUGUCAGUGAGUCAGUGAGUCAGUCAGUCAGUCAGUCAGUCAGUCAGUGGGUCUCCAGCUAUAUAUAUUAUAACUAGA